GGAAUAUUGGACAAUGGGGGAAACCCUGAUCCAGCCAUGCCGCGUGUGUGAAGAAGGCCUUCGGGUUGUAAAGCACUUUAAGCAGGGAGGAAAGGGGCAAGACUAAUAAUCUUGUCAGUUGACGUUACCUGCAGAAUAAGCCCCGGCUAACUUCGUUCCAGCAGCCGCGGUAAUACGAAGGGUGCAAGCGUUAAUCGGAAUUACUGGGCGUAAAGCGCGCGUAGGCGGUUUGGUAAGUGUGAUGUGAAAGCCCAGGGCUCAACCUUGGAACUGCAUCACAUACUGUCAGACUAGAGUACGGGAGAGGGGGGUAGAAUUCCACGUGUAGCGGUGAAAUGCGUAGAGAUGUGGAGGAAUACCGGUGGCGAAGGCGGCCCCCUGGAUCGAUACUGACGCUGAGGUGCGAAAGCGUGGGGAGCA
rnacentral:rRNA from 1 species